CCUACGGGGAGCAGCAGUCGAGAAUCAUUCACAAUGGGGGAAACCCUGAUGGUGCGACGCCGCGUGGGGGAAUGAAGGUCUUCGGAUUGUAAACCCCUGUCAUGUGGGAGCAAAUUAAAAAGAUAGUACCACAAGAGGAAGAGACGGCUAACUCUGUGCCAGCAGCCGCGGUAAUACAGAGGUCUCAAGCGUUGUUCGGAAUCACUGGGCGUAAAGUGUGCGUAGGCUGUUUCGUAAGUCGUGUGUGAAAGGCGCGGGCUCAACCCGCGGACGGCACAUGAUACUGCGAGACUAGAGUAAUGGAGGGGGAACCGGAAUUCUCGGUGUAGCAGUGAAAUGCGUAGAUAUCGAGAGGAACACUCGUGGCGAAGGCGGGUUCCUGGACAUUAACUGACGCUGAGGCACGAAGGCCAGGGGAGCGAAAGGGAUUAGAUACCCUUGUAGUC
rnacentral:rRNA from 1 species